rnacentral:rRNA from 1 species
GAUGAACGCUGGCGGCGUGCUUAACACAUGCAAGUCGAACGGUGAAGCAGGAGCUUGCUCUUGUGGAUCAGUGGCGAACGGGUGAGUAACACGUGAGCAACCUGCCCCUGACUCUGGGAUAAGCGCUGGAAACGGCGUCUAAUACUGGAUAUGUGAUGUGACCGCAUGGUCUGCAUCUGGAAAGAAUUUCGGUUGGGGAUGGGCUCGCGGCCUAUCAGCUUGUUGGUGAGGUAAUGGAGCACCAAGGCGUCGACGGGUAGCCGGCCUGAGAGGGUGACCGGCCACACUGGGACUGAGACACGGCCAGACUCCUACGGGAGGCAGCAGUGGGGAAUAUUGCACAAUGGGCGGAAGCCUGAUGCAGCAACGCCGCGUGAGGGAUGACGGCCUUCGGGUUGUAAACCUCUUUUAGCAGGGAAGAAGCGAAAGUGACGGUACCUGCAGAAAAAGCACCGGCUAACUACGUGCCAGCCGCCGCGGUAA